rnacentral:tRNA from 1 species
GGCGGGAUAGCCAAGGGGUAAGGCAGAGGUCUGCAAAACCUUUAUCACCGGUUCAAAUCCGGUUGCCGCCUCCA